AUUGGAACCGGGGUGCGGUAUGCUUUACACAUGCAAGUCGAACGGUAACAGGUCUUCGGAUGCUGACGAGUGGCGAACGGGUGAGUAAUGUAUCGGAACGUGCCUAGUAAUGGGGGAUAACCACUCGAAAGAGUGACUAAUACCGCAUAAUAUCUCAGGAUGAAAGCGGGGGAUCGCAAGACCUCGCGUUAUUAGAGCGGCCGAUAUCAGAUUAGGUAGUUGGUGGGAUAAAAGCCUACCAAGCCAACGAUCUGUAGCUGGUCUGAGAGGACGACCAGCCACACUGGGACUGAGACACGGCCCAGACUCCUACGGGAGGCAGCAGUGGGGAAUUUUGGACAAUGGGCGAAAGCCUGAUCCAGCAAUACCGCGUGCAGGACGAAGGCCUUCGGGUUGUAAACUGCUUUUGUACGGAACGAAACGGUUCAGAUUAAUACUCUGAACUAAUGACGGUACCGUAAGAAUAAGCACCGGCUAACUACGUG
rnacentral:rRNA from 1 species